rnacentral:rRNA from 1 species
GGGGGACCUUCGGGCCUCUUGCCAUCGGAUGUGCCCAGAUGGGAUUAGCUAGUAGGUGGGGUAACGGCUCACCUAGGCGACGAUCCCUAGCUGGUCUGAGAGGAUGACCAGCCACACUGGAACUGAGACACGGUCCAGACUCCUACGGGAGGCAGCAGUGGGGAAUAUUGCACAAUGGGCGCAAGCCUGAUGCAGCCAUGCCGCGUGUAUGAAGAAGGCCUUCGGGUUGUAAAGUACUUUCAGCGGGGAGGAAGGGAGUAAAGUUAAUACCUUGGCUCAUUGACGUUACCCGCAGAAGAAGCACCGGCUAACUCAUUCCCAGCAGCCGCCGUAAUCCGGAGGGUGCAAGCGUUAAUCGGAAUUACUGGGCGUAAAGCGCACGCAGCCGUUG